CAGUGAUAAACUGGAGGAAGGUGGGGAUGACGUCAAGUCAUCAUGGCCCUUACGACCAGGGCUACACACGUGCUACAAUGGCGCAUACAAAGAGAAGCGACCUCGCGAGAGCAAGCGGACCUCAUAAAGUGCGUCGUAGUCCGGAUUGGAGUCUGCAACUCGACUCCAUGAAGUCGGAAUCGCUAGUAAUCGUGGAUCAGAAUGCCACGGUGAAUACGUUCCCGGGCCUUGUACACACCGCCCGUCACACCAUGGGAGUGGGUUGCAAAAGAAGUAGGUAGCUUAACCUUCGGGAGGGCGCUU
rnacentral:rRNA from 1 species